AGCCGAGCUAGUAUACAUAGUACGGGUGGAUUACGCCCUCUUAGAAGCCAUAGUCGGUUGCUUGGUUU